AUGGAGAUCGCCAUGGUGGCCAUAAGGCCUCUCCUUACGAAGCUUGGCGGCCUGCUCGCUGGUGAGUUCACCCUGGAGAAGCGCGUGAGGAAAGGUAUGGAGUCUCUUGUCAUAGAGCUAACCUUGAUGCACGCUGCCCUCCGCAAGGUGGCAAAAGUCCCGCAAGAGCAGCUUGAUGAGGGGGUCAAGAUAUGGGCCGAAAAUGUCGAGUUGUCCUACCAAAUGGAGGACAUCGUUGACACCAUGAUGGUGCAUGUGGAAGAUGACGGUGAGCCUGUCAACCAGAAUAGAAUCAAGAAGUUGAUCAAGAAGAUCAUCAAAUUAUUCAAGAACGGAAGGGAUCUGCAUCGGAUAUCUGACUCUCUAGAAGUGGUGAUGGGUCAAGCUAAGCAGUUGGCUGAGCAGCGCAAAAGAUAUGAGCAAGAGAUGCGGGACACCAGUGCUGGUGCUGGCAUUGACCCUCGUGUGUUGGCUCUAUACACAGAUGUGACAGAGCUUGUUGGGAUCAAAUAA
rnacentral:rRNA from 1 species